CUUAUCCAGAGUGGUUGAGGGACGGGCCCGAUGAAACCCGGCAACCGGCCGAAAUUCGGCAAGGUGCCAAUUCCCGCGGCGGAAACGUCGAAAGAUGAGG
rnacentral:ncRNA from 1 species